UACGGAGGGUGCAAGCGUUAUCCGGAUUCACUGGGUUUAAAGGGUACGUAGGCGGGUAUAUAAGUCAGUGGUGAAAUCCUGCGGCUCAACCGUAGCACUGCCAUUGAAACUGUAUACCUUGAGGAUAAUCGAUGUGGGCGGAAUGUAGCAUGUAGCGGUGAAAUGCAUAGAUAUGCUACAGAACACCAAUAGCGAAGGCAGCUUACAAGGUUAUAUCCGACGCUGAUGUACGAAAGCGUGGGUAGCGAACAGG
rnacentral:rRNA from 1 species